CGGUUAAAAAGCUCGUAGUUGGAUUUCUGUUGAGGUCAGCCGGUGUGCUCCAUGAGCAUUAUUUGGUUUGGUCUCGGCAUCCUCCUGGGGAGCGUCUCUGGCCUUCGUUGGACAGGGCGAGAUUCAGGACUUUUACUUUGAGGAAAUUAGAGUGUUCACGGCAGGCAAGUGCUUUGAAUACAUUAGCAUGGAAUAAUAAUAUAGGACCUUCGUUCUAUUUUGUUGGUUUCUAGAGCUUAGGUAAUGAUUAAUAGGGACAAUUGGGGGCAUUCGUAUUAACGCGUCAGAGGUGGAAUUCUUGGAUUGCGUUACGACGAACUACUGCGAAAGCAUUUGCCAAAGAUGUUUUCAUUGAUCAAGAACGAAAGUAUGGGGAUCGAAGACGCUUAGAUACCGUCGUAGUCUAUACCAUAAACUAUGCCAACUAGAGAUUGGUGGGGUUCUCCUUUUUGGCUCCAUCAGCAUCUUAUGAGAAAUCAAAGUUUUUGGGUUCCGGGGGGAGUAUGGUCGCA
rnacentral:rRNA from 1 species